CCUACGGGUGGCAGCAGUGGGGAAUAUUGGGCAAUGGGCGCGAGCCUGAACCAGCCAAGUAGCAUGAAGGAUGACUGCCCUCCGGUUGGUAAACUUCUUUUGUAAAGGAAUUUAGUCAGUCCCGUGUGCCUUUUUGUAUGUACUUUAUGAAUAAGGAGCGGCUAACUCCGUUCCAGCCGCCGCGGUAAUACGGAGGAUCCGAGCGUUAUCCGGUUUUGUUGGGUUUGAAGGGCGCGUAGAUGGGUUGGUAAGUCAGAUGUGAAAGUUUGCGGCUCAACCGUAAAACUGCAAUUGAUACUGGGAGUAUUGAGUAAAGUUGAGGCAGGCGGAAUU
rnacentral:rRNA from 1 species